rnacentral:rRNA from 1 species
CCUACGGGAGGCAGCAGUGAGGAAUAUUGGUCAAUGGACGAGAGUCUGAACCAGCCAAGUAGCGUGAAGGAUGACUGCCCUAUGGGUUGUAAACUUCUUUUAUAUGGGAAUAAAACGUUCCACGUGUGGGAUUUUGUAUGUACCAUAUGAAUAAGGAUCGGCUAACUCCGUGCCAGCAGCCGCGGUAAUACGGAGGAGCCGAGCGUUAUCCGGAUUUAUUGGGUUUAAAGGGAGCGUAGGUGGAUUGUUAAGUCAGUUGUGAAAGUUUGCGGCUCAACCGUAAAAUUGCAGUUGAAACUGGCAGUCUUGAGUACAGUAGAGGUGGGCGGAAUUCGUGGUGUAGCGGUGAAAUGCUUAGAUAUCACGAAGAACACCGAUUGCGAAGGCAGUUCACUGGACUGCAACUGACACUGAGGCUCGAAAGUGUGGGUAUCAAACAGGAUUAGAUACCCUAGUAGUC